rnacentral:lncRNA from 1 species
UUUCUUUCUUCUUCUCUCUAUACGUUGGUGUUCUAACCAAUAAUCACUGAUGCGAUGUUCUGUCCGAUCGAUUCAUGAACCAACUAACGGAUGCCAAAGUAUUGUAUUUUGUGAGUUCGUUAAAACGGAUGCCAAAAUGCUGUCUAAACAAGACUAUACUUUGUGAAUUUCGUUAAGGUUCAAAUCUCGUGACUACCGUUAAGGUUUGAUUUGGGUUAUACACAAAUACGUAUUCCAUUCUGUUAAACUAUAUGUUUAACUACCGAAAAUACUCCCCACUACACACUCGCAAUCAAACAAACUAUUAAAUCAUCAGAAGAUCCAGAAUAAUAAAGUGCAUGCUUAAUUAUCGGAAGAAGUAGAAUCAAGAAGUUUGUUAACUCAAUCUUGCAUGCUUAUAAAACAAACCAGAGUGGAAAGUUGAUUGUCGGAUUCUAGAAAGAUGAAGCAGAUGCAGGAGAUUCUGAGCUGAAGAAUGAGGAGAGCUUACAUUGUUGGAAGUUUGAUUGUUUUUUUGUGUCAAAAACAAGUUCAUUAAUUUGAUACUUGUUAUUUUCAGAAAAAGUUAAAAAAUGAUUUUACUAAAUCAUUUGAAUUCGUCGAAAGAUCAACCAGGGUCAUUAAAUUGAACUUGGUAGAUUAAUCGAGUAAUCAAGGUCAUUAAAUUGAACUUGAAUACUUGAGUGGAUUGCUAGAACUGAUUCAGUUUGUUUUUAUUGGUUGAAAAAGAUGAAUUUUAAUAUUAUGGGUAGAGUAACAGGUUUGGACUUUAAAUUUCCACGGAGGCAAACUGUCAAAGCUUGAACCAGAAACCUCAGAUCCCAGCAUACUGAGAGGGGGAGUAUGUGAAAGGGGGAGUCUGGAUCAACAGUUACUGGGAAGUUGAAGUUAGAGUCAGGUGUUAAUCCUAAAACCUGUGAAGAAUGUUUGUGAGAAUAGACAGAGUUGAGGAAAAGACUAAGACAGAAGACUAUGGAACUGAAGACUGAUAAAGACUACGUCAACAUCUAAGGGGGAGUCUGUUGAUGCACAGAAUGUCUGUUGACUGCGUCUACAAGAAGUCUGAAGUCAAAAUUGGUCAACAGGGGGUCAAACUGUAAAUAUUAUGUAAAAUAGAGUUUGGUUCGCUUUUAUGUCAUUGAACAUAGUGGUCCGCUCAUAGGGUUUAUUUGUGGUCCGCUUAUUGUGCAGUGAUGUAGGUCCGCUCAUAUGGCAUGCCAUAUGAGCGAACCCACAUGUCUAUAUAUAGGGAUGUCUUCUGAGCGGACCUAAGACGCAUGUUUGUAUGCUGGAGCGAAACUCUGUCAAAUUUUCAGUAGAAAAGCAAUAAAAGCAAAGGAAAUUA